rnacentral:lncRNA from 1 species
UAAUGUGUAUGCUGUAUAAAUAAGUUCAAAUAUUUUGCAGCUGACUGAUCAAGUCUGGUUGGCAAAAUGUUUGUAUUUUUUCAUUGCUGCUGUAAGAAAAGGUUAUGCAAUAUUUUUAACUGAUCAAGCUCAUCGUGCAGUGGAAGUGGUUGGUUCUUGUACCAUAUCUGUUUAGUAAAUACUUGAAGCCACUGGGUGAUGAAGUUGUCAUUUUUAACUAGGACCAUUAACUGCUACAAGGUUAUGUUUUAAAUUCUGUGAGAUAGAGCUGUCUCGAUUUUCUUGUGGGAUGGGACUUUCACCAUCCCGUUCCGUUCUGACAUUGAGAUAGGGAAUAUCCUAAGAUAUCUCAAUCGGAAUGUGAGAAGGAUAGUCAUGUCCCAACAUAAGAGAUGAUAUCUCAUCCCGAUGUUUUGCGGGAUU